rnacentral:rRNA from 1 species
CGGACGGGUGAGUAAUGUCUGGGAAACUGCCUGAUGGAGGGGGGUAACUACUGGAAACGGUAGCUAAUACCGCAUAACGUCGCAAGACCAAAGAGGGGGACCUUCGGGCCUCUUGCCAUCGGAUGUGCCCAGAUGGGAUUAGCUAGUAGGUGGGGUAACGGCUCACCUAGGCGACGACCCCUAGCUGGUCUGAGAGGAUGGCCAGCCACACUGGAACUGAGACACGGUCCAG